CCUACGGGAGGCAGCAGUGAGGAAUAUUGGUCAAUGGGCGCUAGCCUGAACCAGCCAAGUCGCGUGAAGGAUGACUGUCCUAUGGGUUGUAAACUUCUUUUAUAUGGGAAUAAAGUGCAGUAUGUAUACUGCUUUGCAUGUACCUUAUGAAUAAGGAUCGGCUAACUCCGUGCCAGCAGCCGCGGUAAUACGGAGGAUCCGAGCGUUAUCCGGAUUUAUUGGGUUUAAAGGGAGCGUAGGCGGGUUGUUAAGUCAGUUGUGAAAGUGUGGGGCUCAACCGUAAAAUUGCAGUUGAUACUGGGAGCCUUGAGUACGGUAGAGGUAGGCGGAAUGCGUGGUGUAGCGGUGAAAUGCUUAGAUAUCACGAAGAACUCCGAUUGCGAAGGCAGCCUGCUGGACUAUAACUGACGCUGAUGCUCGAAAGUGUGGGGAUCAAACAGGAUUAGAUACCCCGGUAGUC
rnacentral:rRNA from 1 species